rnacentral:rRNA from 1 species
GACGAGGUGCACAAACGUUAUUCGGAUUUACUGGGCUUAAAGCGUGCGUAGGCGGCUUGGCAAGUUGGGUGUGAAAUCCCUCGGCUCAACCGAGGAACUGCGCCCAAAACUACCGUGCUCGAGGAAGAUAGAGGUGAGCGGAACUUACGGUGGAGCGGUGAAAUGCGUUGAUAUCGUAAGGAACACCCGUGGCGAAAGCGGCUCACUGGGUCUUCUCUGACGCUGAUGCACGAAAGCUAGGGGAGCAAACGGG